UACGUAGGGUGCAAGCGUUAAUCGGAAUUACUGGGCGUAAAGCGUGCGCAGGCGGUUUUGUAAGUCUGUCGUGAAAUCCCCCGGGCUUAACCUGGGAACUGCAUUGGUGACUGGCAGGCUUUGAGUGUGGCAGAGGGAGGUAGAAUUCCACGUGUAGCAGUGAAAUGCGUAGAGAUGUGGAGGAAUACCGAUGGCGAAGGCAGCCUCCUGGGCCAACACUGACGCUCAUGCACGAAAGCGUGGGAGCAAACAGG
rnacentral:rRNA from 1 species